rnacentral:rRNA from 1 species
CCUACGGGUGACAGCAGUGGGGAAUAUUGCGCAAUGGGUGAAAGCCUGACGCAGCGACGCCGCGUGAAGGAUGACGGUCUUCGGAUCGUAAACCUCUGUCAGCAGGGAAGAACGGUCACUGUGCUAAUCAGCAGUGAAUUGACGGUACCUGCAAAGGAAGCACCGGCUAACUCCGUGCCAGCAGCCGCGGUAAUACGGAGGGUGCGAGCGUUAAUCGGAAUUACUGGGCGUAAAGCGCUCGUAGGCGGUAUGUCAAGUCAAGGGUGAAAUCCCCGCGCUCAACGUGGGAACUGCCUUUGAAACUGGCAAGCUGGAGUGUGUGUGAGGAUAGUGGAAUUCCAGGUGUAGGGGUGAAAUGCGUAGAUAUCUGGAGGAACAUCAGUGGCGAAGGCGACUUUCUGGCACAUUACUGACGCUGAGGAGCGAAAGCGUGGGGAGCAAACAGGAUUAGAUACCCUUGUAGUC